rnacentral:ncRNA from 1 species
AGGUUUGGUCCUGGCCUUUUCAUUAGUUGUUAGUAAAAUUACACAUGCAAGUAUCCGCCUCCCAGUGAGAAUACCCUCUAAGUCCCCUGGAUAGAAAGGAGUAGGUAUCAAGCACACUAAUAGUAGUAGCUCAUAACACCUUGCUUAGCCACGCCCCCACGGGAAACAGCAGUGACAAAAAUUAAGCAAUGAACGAAAGUUUGACUAAGUUAUGCUAAUCAGGGUUGGUAAAUUUCGUGCCAGCCACCGCGGUCAUACGAUUAACCCAAAUUAAUGAAUCCUCGGCGUAAAGAGUGUUUAAGGAUAAUAAAAAAUAAAAUUAAACUAUAGCUUAGCUGUAAAAAGCUCCGGCUACUGUAAAAUAUACUACGAAAGUAAUUUUAACCCCCUGACUACACGACAGCUAAGGCCCAAACUGGGAUUAGAUACCCCACUAUGCUUAGCCAUAAACCUAAGAAAAAUCUAAACAACAACGCUCGCCAGAGAACUACUAGCCAAAGCUUAAAACUCAAAGGACUUGGCGGUGCUUUACAUCCACCUAGAGGAGCCUGUUCUAUAAUCGAUAAACCCCGAUAAACCUCACCAGCCCUUGCCAGUAUCAGCCUAUAUACCGCCAUCUUCAGCAAACCUUUGAAAAAGGACAAAAGUAAGCGCAAACAUCCAACAUAAAAAAGUUAGGUCAAGGUGUAGCUAAUGGACUGGGAAGAAAUGGGCUACAUUUCCUAAAUUCUAAGGACACUACCACCCCCAACGAAAGCCAUCAUGAAAACACAGGCGAAAGGCGGAUUUAGCAGUAAAUUGAGAAUAGAGCGCUCAGUUGAAAAAGGCCAUAAAGCACGCACACACCGCCCGUCACCCUCUUCAAGCAACGCUGGUGCUAACAAACCCUAUUAGAGGCAUCAAACACGCAAGAAGAGACAAGUCGUAACAAGGUAAGCGUACUGGAAAGUGCGCUUGGACAACC